AAGCGUUAUCGUUCUUUGUUUAGAAGCCAGUGUGAUAAGACAUACGUUGAUUCAUUUCCUUUCAAUACCUGUGACGCGUGGCUGCACAAGUUUCAAGUUAAGUCCAUUACUAUCGAACUUCUCUUUUAAUUUAUUAUUCUGCAUUUUCUUUCGUCACUAGAAUAGGCGUGCGUUCUGCAAUUUAAAUGUGCGAGCAUAAUCUACUAUAAUAAUAAUUAUGCUUUGCUUCCUACGUUGCAAUGGCUAUUGAUUGAAUUUAAUGAUAUAAAUUUCCCGUUUCCGGAAACAGAAAUUUAUUUUUUUAUUUCGCGGCAAAGGAUGUGGACGGCAGCAUAUUUUCUCAUUUUAUUCGCUGUUUUUGCUUUUUCUGACGCUGCCAGUCAUAUGCGCAAGCCGAAUGAUGAAUACGAUUUCUGGCCCGUUAAUCCCAAUGCCACACUAGUGCCAGAUGCAGGCGAGAUAAUGUACCAAAGAGGUCGUGUAAGGAUCGGUUAUGAUUUGGACAGCAUGUACCCUUUAACGGAGUACACGACGCUGGUUAGCGCAAUGAACCAUAUCAAAACCGCUACAAAAGGCUGCAUAGAGUUCCUACCAUAUGAUUUGAUAGCAGGCACCUUACCUUUAUCACGAUUACAUUUCCGCAAUCAGCCAAUAUCCGGUUCAAUUAACGCGUGUCGAACGCAUCCAGGAUAUGUCCGGAACAGCAGCGGCGCCGGUCAGCAAGCGCUGUUCUUCGGAUCCAGAAGUAAAGGCACCAGCGCAGCGGAGCAUGGUUGCCUCGAUGAUGAACGCGAGACCACCCGUUUUCUGAUGAAAAUGCUUGGAGUGGUCAGUGAAUUUCAGCGUCCGGAUCGUAGCGCAGUCGGACUGAACUUUGGAACCGGGGUACAAUAAUAAAACCAAGACAUACCUGCGGAAUGAAUUCCUGUUCUUUCCUGAACAAACUGCUCACACUCACAAACUUCUCGAUAUGGUCGAUCUGGAAUCCGUCACCAUGAUCACACCAGAACAGUUUGCGGCUUCGGAGAGUGACCCAGUGUUUACGUUCGCCAAUGGAAUGUCACUGAUGCGGUCUAUCUCAGGGAAAUUGAGUCUUGCGGAUUGUGAAGCGUUGAAUUACAUGUAUCAAUGUGGAAUUCGUUGUGGUUCAACAAUGCCUGAAAUUACCAUGGUACCAGCCACGCGAGUCGUUAAUAUGCACUGUUGGACUGCACAGCAAGCAGGUCAACCAAUUUCUGCUGCGGACGAAGCGAAGCAAAUAGGCGAAAUCGGAAGAAUAGCAUAUCCAGCGCCGGCUUCAGAUGUUCGCUAUACAUUUGGGUCAUCCAAUUUCCGGUUAAAGGUAAGAAAUGACCCUUCAGCGACGUCCGCUGCAGUUGGAUUGUCGCAAACAAUUUCCACGGGCUUCGAAACCACCUUCACUGUGGAUGCUCGUGUUGGAAGUAAAGUUGUCGCUACCGGAAGCAUCGAAGCAUGGAUAAAUUGCUGGCCGCAAUUUAGCAUCCGAAAUCGACUUAUAGAUUGUCGAAACGACGAAGCGGAUGAUCUUGGACCUUCUCUUGGAUUAAGAGACGCACCACGUUGCGUUAGCAUGGAAGACGAUCCCACAUUGUCGGUACCUUGCUCAAGUGAAUUGAUUUUUUUGUCCAAUACGGAAGCUUUCCGAGUGGCUGUAAGUGUGCAUACUUGCAGCAACAUGUGACAAAUGACAGGUAUUCGAUCCGGAUGGAUUCGGAAAUACCGAAUCUGAAAUGAUUGAGGUUGUUAAGGGUGAAACGGAAGAAGACGAAACGUCCGCCUGGAUCUAUGACAAUGUUACCAGAUCUGUGCGACGAUUGGGCCCUCUUGAAGAUUUGGAAAACACUCCACCUCGCAUUUUCCGAAUUUUAUUUCGAGAUACUACGUAUUCAAACAAUGUUAACCCUGAUGGAUAUAUAAUAUUGGAAUAUUUCGUGAAUCUUAAAUGUGAAGAACCGACGUAGGCUGUCUGAUGCAAAAUGGCCCAAGAGGUUGUCUAAAGCAAGUUCAUGACCGAAAAGCUGAAGCGCUUUUGGGGAAAUUUAUGA